AGUAGGGGGGGUCAGUAGGGGAUCAGUAGGGGGUCAGUUGACCGGGGGUCAGUGUUUAGUUUCUCGAAACCCGUUUUAGCGGGCCAAAAUCCACUCUACAUUCGCUUCGUCACCGUGCACGGUUUCAAGGCAAAGUUUUUCGUUACCCAGAAGCUGAAGAUAGCGAUUACAGGUAACAACAACAACAGGUUAUGUUGCCCUCUGAUGUGAAUGCUAGUAAGCUAUAAUGCAAUGUGCCAUAUUCAGCAGAGAAAUUUCUCUUACGCUAGUGCAAGUAUUCUGAAGUUACUCAAGUGUCUACAGUUGUACCUACAUGCAAGUUACAAUAUGCUGUUAUACACACCUGUACAUGGACAUUGCACCCACUUGUACUGAUAGUAUGUUAAAUGUUGUGGAAUUUUCUUUCAUAAAAAAAAAAUAAGAUACUUUAUAAAGAGGUAUACAUGUACCUCAAACUGUCAUGAAAACUCCAUAGGACUUGAAAAAA